UACGUAGGGUGCAAGCGUUAAUCGGAAUUACUGGGCGUAAAGCGUGCGCAGGCGGCUUUGCAAGUCUGUCGUGAAAGCCCCGGGCUUAACCUGGGAAUUGCGAUGGAGACUGCAAGGCUUGAAUCUGGCAGAGGGGGGUAGAAUUCCACGUGUAGCAGUGAAAUGCGUAGAGAUGUGGAGGAACACCGAUGGCGAAGGCAGCCCCCUGGGUCAAGAUUGACGCUCAUGCACGAAAGCGUGGGGAGCAAACAGG
rnacentral:rRNA from 1 species